GACGAACGCNGGCGGCGUGCCUAAUACAUGCAAGUAGAACGCUGAAGGAGGAGCUUGCUUCUCUGGAUGAGUUGCGAACGGGUGAGUAACGCGUAGGUAACCUGCCUGGUAGCGGGGGAUAACUAUUGGAAACGAUAGCUAAUACCGCAUAACAGUAGAUAUCGCAUGAUAUGUGCUUAAAAGGUGCAAUUGCACCACUACCAGAUGGACCUGCGUUGUAUUAGCUAGUUGGUGAGGUAACGGCUCACCAAGGCGACGAUACAUAGCCGACCUGAGAGGGUGAUCGGCCACACUGGGACUGAGACACGGCCCAGACUCCUACGGGAGGCAGCAGUAGGGAAUCUUCGGCAAUGGACGGAAGUCUGACCGAGCAACGCCGCGUGAGUGAAGAAGGUUUUCGGAUCGUAAAGCUCUGUUGUAAGAGAAGAACGAGUGUGAGAGNGGAAAGUUCACACNGNGACGG
rnacentral:rRNA from 1 species